rnacentral:rRNA from 1 species
GACGAACGCUGGCGGCGUGCCUAAUACAUGCAAGUUGAGCGAUGAAGCUUGGUGCUUGCCCCAAUUUGAAGAGCAGCGAACGGGUGAGUAACGCGUGGGGAAUCUGCCUUUGAGCGGGGGACAACAUUUGGAAACGAAUGCUAAUACCGCAUAACAACUUUAAACAUAAGUUUUAAGUUUGAAAGAUGCAAUUGCAUCACUCAAAGAUGAUCCCGCGUUGUAUUAGCUAGUUGGUGAGGUAAAGGCUCACCAAGGCGAUGAUACAUAGCCGACCUGAGAGGGUGAUCGGCCACAGUGGGACUGAGACACGGCCCAAACUCCUACGGGAGGCAGCAGUAGGGAAUCUUCGGCAAUGGACGAAAGUCUGACCGAGCAACGCCGCGUGAGUGAAGAAGGGUUUCGGAUCGUAAAACUCUGUUGGUAGAGAAGAACGUUGGUGAGAGUGGAAAGCUCAUCAAGUGACGGUAACUACCCAGAAAGGGACGGCUAACUACGUG